UGUGCUGUGGUGGGGAUUGUAGUUGAUGAAGACAUAGCCGCGCGACUGGUCGAUGCAGUGGAACAGUGGGUUCCAGUCGAACAUGGCCAGCAUGAAGGUCGGCAGGGUAUUGGCGAGGAACAUCUUGCCCGAGGCGAUCAUGUUGGCGCGCUG
rnacentral:ncRNA from 1 species